GGGGGUAAUAGUUUUAAUAAAAAAAAUUUCUAGUUUGCAAUUAGAAGAUGAAUAUUAUUUUCUUACUUU
rnacentral:tRNA from 1 species